CAAAGGCCCAGAACCAAGGAGUUCCAGCAGAGAGGAAGGAAAUGAAGCUUCCUGCUGGCUGAAGCUGCUCACCCAAAAGAAAGGGAAUUAGAUAAAGUGAAAGGUAUUUCUCAGAGAUGGGCCCAAAGCUGCUUCUGUUUCCUUGUGGCCUCAGGCUGGCUCUAGCUAGUAGGACACCAUGACCCAGAGUAACUAAAGGGAAUUAUUGGCAUCCUCCCACGAGCUCCUACCAGGCCAGUGCCAGAAACACUCAUCUACUCCCUUAUGGAAGAUCACUGAGUCAUGAGAUCUGUGGUUUGUCUGAUUCUCCACUUCCCGAAGCCAGCCAAGGCUAACCGACCUGGGAUUCUGAGAGACUGUCCAGAUGGAAUCCUGCUCUGUUGCCCAGGCUGGCAUGAUCUCGGCUCAUUGCAACCUCUGCCUCCCAAGUUCAAGCGAUUCGCCUGCGUCAGCCUCCCGAGUCGCCUGGAGUACAGCUGUGGGCCACCACGCCUGGCUAAUUUUUGUAUUUUUAGUAGAGACGGGCUUUCGCCAGGUUGGCCAGGCUUGUCUCGAAAUCCUGACCUCAAGUGAUCUGCCCACCUUGGCCUCCCAAAGUACUGGGAUUAAAGGCAUAAGCCACCAUGCCCGGCCUAUUUACUUAUGUUUUAUCAAUAAGUAAUAGAUGUAUAUAUUUUCAGGGUACAUAACACCUCUACUUUUAAACUGGUUCCUAUGAGAUUCCCACCUCUUUCCUUAUAAUUCCCACUUUUAUUUGAGUUCUUUUUAGUGCAUGUCUUCAACCAAGACGAGUAGGAAAUCAAAGCUUCAGAGAUGACCACAAUGCUGUAAAGCCCAGAGGAAAACCCAAAGAAUGCUAUGAAAACUAAGUGUGGAAGAAAUCCCACAGCACCUGCAGCAGGUUUUACUCCACCUCAUUGAUGGACUAUUUAAAUUACUUAAUUUUAGCUGGGCAUGGUGGCAGGUCUCUGUAGUCCCAGCUACAUGGGAGGCUGAGGCAGGAGGAUGGCUUGAACCCAGAAGUUAGAGGCUGCAGUGAGCCAUGAUUGCCCCACUGCACUCUAGCCUGAGCAACAGAGCAAGACCCUGUCUCUAAAAAAUAAAAAUAAGAAAACUACUUGAUUUUCAGGAAGAUACUUCCAGUUCAAGAAUUUCAGGGAGAAGCAAACAAGUUCUGGUGAGGAGAUGCUGCAUGCCUGGGCCUCUGUAUAGCACUCUCAAUUACAGCUGACCUGCAGAGAGCUUUGAUAGUCUGAGGUUACAAGUAAAAUUAAUGACCAUGGUGAGAAAGUUACUCAGCACUAAAGGCUCUCAGUCCUCACAACCUCUUAUAGAUGAUGUGCCUUUAGAUGAUUCUUAUGCUGUGCAAUCAUUCUUCAUUUCAUGUAGCCACCCAUCUACCCACUGAUUCUACAAAAAUUUAUUUAGCACCUACUGAGUAACAGGCAUUAGAGAGGCCAAGACAGAUGAGACACUCCCUGUCCUCAAAGGGCAGUAAGCACUUCUCAUUCACAGAACGUUUACAGCUUGUAAUUGUAUGCAUUUGUGGGAUUUGUUUUUGUUUAAUCUCUCUCUCCCAUUAUAUCAAUUUCAUAAGGACAGGAUUCAUGGGUUUGUUGUUGUUGUUGUUGACUCUUGUAUCCUAGAACCUGGUAGGGUUCCUGGCACACAAUAGGCACUUAAUACGUAUUUGGUGAACAAAUUAUUAAUGAAGGGCUUUGAGUCUGUUCAAGGUGUUAUUGUUUUUCUUCUUUUUUCUUUCUGUUUUUACUCAUGUUACAGCCUACCCCCAAAAAAGAUAUCUUCAUAGGACCAUCAGACAAUAAUACAUUUGGAAAUGUAUGUGGCUUAUGUCUUCCAGAAUGGUCCACAGUAUGUGGCAACUGCAGGCUCUGUAACAGAUGCCUGAGCUACUAGAACUCGGUAACCAAGGAUCCUCCCUGUGGUGUAGAUCCUCGGUGUCUAGGGACCCUCCUUUCCUGGUAGCUCUUAGAUUAAAGCUGCUCAGGAGAGAGAGUACAGAAAAUGCAGCUGAUUCAUUGGCCUCGAGGAAACAGAGCAUGGAAAGCAGACGAGGAUGUGAGAAAUGACCAUCUCAACACCAGCAGGAGGAGGUAGACAAACAGGACAAGGGACUGCAUGCAUAGCUGUGUGGGAUUGCCUUGCACAAGGGCACCCAGCCAAGGGGGCAAGUAGGGGCUGAAAUCUAGCCAGGCUCUGCUUCUAAGCCAUGAACCCUGGCAAGAGAUUCUGUCAAAGGUGGCCUAAGGACCAGAGGUGGCCCAGUGAGAAGUCCCCAGGUUCUUAAGAAGACUGACAAAGUAAUGAGGGAGAGUGUGGAGAGCACCUGCACUUCGCAUUCAAUCAGAAAGCUGUGGGUUGGGGUUUUGCCCAGUGUGAUGGCCUCACUCUGUGAACUGUGAUUACCGCUUCACACCCCUACACCUCUAAGCCCUGCUCCCACACAUUCAGUUCUCAGAGUGACAAAGGGUGACUCCUAGCAAAAGCAGGAAAGAUUUGUAAGAGGACAUCUAAGAUCAAAGCUGUCAGCAAGAGGCAAAGAGCCACUCUGCUACCCUGAAGAUGGAGGAUGAAGCAGCAGGUAACUGGGCUGUUAGGCUGCCUGCCCAGCUCUCUGUAUGGGCUGACAGCGUAUAGCUUCCUUUGCCCAAAUGUGGAUAGCCUGUAUUGACACUGGAGAGAACUCAUGCACACAGCCUAACAGAAAAACAAUUUAGUACCAGAUAGCUUUAAAAAAAAAAAUCAUCCACAUCCUUCCCUAUUCUGCUCUUCAUGGUACAUGGAGACUCCAGGGCUAUUUCUAGCUCAAGAUGCAGGGGUGCUGAUGAGCAGUGGGAUUUCUGCAGCUGAUCGCUGAUAGGAUAGAGCUGUUGCCACCCCAGAGAGGUGCUAGGGACAGGCAGCUUAACUGCACAUGGCCAGCACAUGGCAGGUGGGCGGGAGGACGUCUGGCUGGUUCAGGGGGAGGUGCGGGGGAUGGAACAGCUCUGAAACAGCAUUUUGGAAGCAGUAAGCUGAAGAUAGUGUGGCUCUGUGUGUCUCCAACACCACCUUUCUUCCACAGCUCUAGGCUUAAAGGGGAACAAAGAAAGAAAAAGGGAACAUCUUAGGGAUAUCAGUGCACCUCCUGCACUUGCCUCUCUUGCUUCAAAUCUGGAAUGCCAUUUCAGCAGCCAAGAUGCAGAUGCAGUUCUUUUUUUUUUUUUUAAUUGAGAAUGUGACUAACAGAAUGAAUAGUCUUAAGGAGAGUGGUCAAAUUGUAACGAAACCCAUCAAAACAUCAUAGGGAGGAAGGGGAGGGGAAAGAUUGGCUUCAACAGUAAAAUUGUAUAGGCUUUAAGAUCAGGUGAAUUUGAGUUCUAUUCCCACCUCUUUCAUUAUCAGCAAUGUGACCUUGGGCGGCUGCUUAAUCUCUCUGUGCCUAUUUCCUUCAUUUGUAAAGCGGGGAUAAUCCUAGGGGUGGCAUGAGUGAAAUGCAUUUUUAUUUUGGGGGGUGGGGGGCUGCCCCUGCAUGGUCAUGCCUCUGUCCGUGGUUCUGAAUGCUCGCUUCUUUUGAGCUGGUCAGUCAUUUCAAAACCCAGGAUACUGCUGAUUCUUGUUCAACCUCUCCUAUGAGAGUAUUUGUUGUUUUUCUUUGUUUUUAUAUUUUAUCUUAAUGGAGCGCUUCAGUUUUUACACACUCGAAGAAUAAGUAGCAACGUGACUUAUGUUACAUUACUUACAUAACAAAAUCUGCUCACUGCCUUGUUUCCAACAGUUUAAAACAUUUUUGCCUUCUAGGAUGUGGGGUGUCAGACACUGCUCCCCCGCAAAGCUAAGUCUAAAGCAAUAGUAAUACAUACUUCAGUGGUUUUUGUAAGAAUUAAGCAUGUAAAUACUUCAGCUCCAUGGCUGGCAUAUAAAUACUAAGACAAAAAGUGGCUAUUGUGGCAGGUGUGUGUUUGCAAACACCAAAUUUGGACACAAAAGUUGCUCAAAAUUACUUUCUAAAUCAAAUUACAUCUCACCCUGAGCCUCUGCUUUCUACAGAUUACUAGUUAUUGGGGCAGGAAUAUUCCCAUCAAGUUAUGAGAAGGUCUUAGGGAUGUUAUACAGAACAAAAUUUUCCAGACAAGGCUCCCUAGUCUUCAGUCCACACUGGUUACCCAGUGAUGUGCUCAUUGUCCCAGCACUCAGAGAAAAGCUGCUCUGAUGCUUCUAUUUCUUGCUUAGGUUCAUUGUUUGCAGUGGUUGAUAGCCCCAGGUCCUGGCAUCAAGCUCCCACAUCUCUCCUGGCCCCCAGCCCUCUGGUUUACCACCUAGCUAUUCACCUCUGAGACUGAGACAUCUGCAAAGAAACAGCUACCCUACUACUUGAGAACCCAUGAGUCUCCUGGAGCCCAAGCCACCAUUCUCUUCCUGGGUUCAAGGACUGUUUCCUUUUCCUUGGAAGAGAGAGGGAGGAGGCGAAGACAGCAUCAGCCUGUACUCCUCCAAACGUAGAGUAAUCUCCCCUCAAUUGGGUCAUUUCCCUUAUUAAUUCACCCUUUUACUUAUUUACUUUAUUAUUAUUGAACAGUAUAUGUCGUCUUAUCACAGGAAUUUAGGACCCCCUUUGUUAUGUUUUUAUUUUGAGAGUCAUGAAUGCCCUUGGAAUCCCAUUCAGUCUGACAACCAAAUGAAGAUCUAAACUCAUACAGCAGAAGAGCUCAGGUCCAUUGAGAAACAGAGCUUCAUCUUCUAAUUAUUUGGUUUAAUUUAUUGGUGUACACUCCCUUUAAGACAUCACAGUGCUUGACUUCACUGUUAUUUUGUGUGAAAUAGCCUCUGCUUACCCUUCUCUGUUAAAGAAUUUUCCUAACUCAUCCGUGAGCUAUUUCACCUGACUGCACUGUGAACUGAGGAGAGAGUGUGGAUCUGUAGGAGUUUGAUUCUCUCAAGAAAGGAAAUAUGUUUGCCUGGAGUUUCUCUAAAGAAGGAAGGCAGCAACGCAACCCUGUGGCCUAUGUGUAAAUCAUCUGACUUUCUCACCAAUGUGGUUAAAUCUUCUGAUUUCUUACUCAGCAAGAGCUUGCUGAAAACUGACAUUGUAGUUGCUGACUGGGAUUGCAGCUCAACAAAUUAUUUCUAAAAGGUGUGCAGUUGUUGAAAAAAAAAAAGGGUCAAUCAAGGUCAGUAUAAUGGGCAUUUGUCUGAUAGCCUUAGGCGUUAAUGGGCAUUUUUGUUUACUUCAAGGAGGAAAAAGAGAUGAGGGGAUAAAGAUCUGUGAUCUAUAAUGUAACUUGAAACAUUUCGGCUAUUGGCUAAUGUCAUAGGUGUUUCUUAAUUUUUCCAUCCAUGAAGAAAAUGACUGAUAAAAUUUAUGCAAACUUAGCAGUCAGCCAUUAAUUGGUUUAUUUCGGCUGUUUUUAAAUGUCUCUUGAAAGUCGUUAGAGUGUUAAUACAUUCAAGAGGUAGCUGUGUCCCAUAUUGACAAUCUAAAUAUGUAAGCAAGCCCAAAAAGAGGAGAAGGAUGGAAGUUACCUAGGCAGGACAUGGUCAUCUAUAGGGAAGAAAGUCAUAAUAUCUUUUCUAUCACAAACUUUCUGAAGCUCUGGUUAAUCUGUGAAACUGGGUUAGCUGUUCUACAGAAAGUUAGGAAGGUCUUUGGUUAAAGAUAAGAGACACAUGAGUGGAAGCUCUUCACUCACUCUAAACAUUUAAGAACUUCUGGCUAAAAUAUAAUCAAAAUGUUUUACAUACAUAACUAAGCAUGAAGUCAAGUAAAGGAAAUUGCCAUUUUCAAAAGCAAAAAGAUAACUUUCAAAGUCAGAGGUGAAUAAGAAUUGCACUGUGCGUAUGGUAAGAUCUAAAUUCACAUUGUCUAUAGAAUGUGGACACCCAAGUUGUGACACUAAUGUUAAAAAUUUGUCUCAACCUUGAUGUAAAAAGAAAUUAUGUAACUUUACUAAAAGAUAGGUAAAAAAGACCCCAAAGUGAAAAAAAAGGUCAUGUUCAAGGAUAAAAAGACCCAAUAUCAUGAAGAUCAAUUUGUCCCAAGUUUAUCUAUCAUUUCAAUCAGAAUCUCAAUAGAAAUAUUUUAUGGAUAUUAUGCAGACAAAUCCUAGCUGCUUAUAAAAUGUAUAUGGAAGGGCAAAGAACAAGAAAGAGGAAAGAGAAUCUUGAAGGAGGAGGGAAGGGACUUGCCAUAGCAGAUAUCAAGAACUUACUAUAAAGCCCCAGCAGUUAAGCCAAAGGGGAGGGGAGGAUGUAUGAGAAAUAAACAGAGAGACCAAUGCAAUGGAAAAGAGCUUAGACAUAAACUCACCAUAUAAGAAAAAAUUCAUUCAUAACAGAGCAGCCAUUAUACAUCAGUAAGGAAAGGAAUGGAGUGCUCAAAAAUGGGGCUGGGACAAUAAUCACCCCUCCCUAAAAAAAGGAAAGAAAAAUUGGAUUUCUACCUCAUACUAUAUACACAAAUCAAUUCUACAUAGAUUAAAUGAAAGUUUAAAA
rnacentral:lncRNA from 1 species